CCUUAUGCAUGCAAGUCGAGCGAAGCUUUUCAGUAGUUUACUACAGAAAAUGACUGAGCGGCGAACGGGUGAGUAACGCGUGAGCAAUCUACCUUAGUUACAGGGAUAGCCCGAGGAAACUCGGAUUAAUACCUGAUAUUCUUUAAAUUUCGCAUGAAAUUAAAAGGAAAGGUCAGCCGAACUAAGAUGAGCUCGCGUUCUAUCAGCUAGUUGGUGAGGUAAAAGCUCACCAAGGCUACGACGGAUAGCUGGUCUGAGAGGACGAUCAGCCACACUGGGACUGAGACACGGCCCAGACUCCUACGGGAGGCUGCAGCAGGGAAUAUUGCGCAAUGAGCGAAAGCUUGACGCAGCGACACCGCGUGUGGGAUGACGGAUCUAGGUUUGUAAACCACUUUCAGGAGGGAAGAAAAUGACGGUACCUCCACAAGAAGCCCCGGCCAACUACGUGCCAGCAGCCGCGGUAAUACGUAGGGGGCGAGCGUUGUCCGGAUUUAUUGGGCGUAAAGAGCUCGUAGGCGGUUCAACAAGUCGGUCGUGAAAG
rnacentral:rRNA from 1 species